rnacentral:tRNA from 1 species
GGGGAUUUAGCUCAGUGGUAGAGCGCUUGCCUAGCAAGCACAAGGCUCUGGUUUCAGUCCUCA